AAAGCUGGUCCAAGAAGAGCUGAGAGCAAGAUGAAAAAGAAAACAAAAAAGGCACAAAUUGUAAUAUAUUCAUUUGAAAAGAUUGAACAAAGUAAACAAUGAGUUUGAAUGUGAUUUGAAUUGAAAUUGGAUUUCUAUCGAUUCAACAGUCACCAAAAUGAUUGAAAUAAAUUGAAAUGAAAAUCAAAAUGAAAACUAGGAAAACAAUGAAAGUCUAGAAUUGAAAUCAAGUCUAGGAUUAUGAUAAAAUUUAGUGAACAAAAAACGGGUUAAAAAGAAAGUAGUGUCAUUUUCCCUUUCUUUAAUGCAAGGGAAAAGCAGAGUGAUUUCCCUUUCUCUGCAUUCUUCGCACUAUUUUCACUUCAAGAUGGCUCUUCAAUUAGCUAAAGCUUUGUUUCUCUUCUUAAGUCGCUUAGAGAUAAUAAUUAAUUGUUAACAUUUCUUUACUUUUGUGUUAUGUUAUUAGUUAAACCAUGGACUUACCAAUGCUUUCAAAGAGUUUUCUGGUCACAGUUAGGUUGAGAUAACCUUUGGUUGCUAUGAAUUUGGAUAAAGGACCACUUAUGAAUUGACCCAGUGCUUCAGCAAGGUAAAACGCGGAAUUGAUUAAACCAUUUCCUUGGAGAGGAUAACCCAGGAUAGUUUCCAAAUAAAGAGGUAUUUUGAUAACAUUGGCCGAGAUGAAUUUUUUUUCUUCCUCACUGACGAAAGGGCUUUUAUCUGGAUUAGCAGUGAUCGUUGUGAAAUAUAAAAUUGUGAAUACCAAAUUAGCCAAACCCAUGCAG